rnacentral:rRNA from 1 species
GACGAACGCUGGCGGCGUGCUUAACACAUGCAAGUCGAACGGUGAAGCGCCUUCCUUUUUGGUGGGUGUGGAUGAGUGGCGAACGGGUGAGUAACACGUGAGUAACCUGCCCCCUUCUUCUGGAUAACCGCAUGAAAGUGUGGCUAAUACGGGAUAUUCUGGGUCUGUCGCAUGAUGGGUCUGGGAAAGAUAUUGUUUCGGUGGGGGAUGGGCUCGCGGCCUAUCAGCUUGUUGGUGGGGUGAUGGCCUACCAAGGCGGUGACGGGUAGCCGGCCUGAGAGGGUGGACGGUCACACUGGGACUGAGACACGGCCCAGACUCCUACGGGAGGCAGCAGUGGGGAAUAGUGCACAAUGGGCGCAAGCCUGAUGCAGCGACGCCACGUGAGGGAUGGAGGCCUUCGGGUUGUGAACCUCUUUCGCCAGUGAAGCAGGCCUGCCUCGUUUGUGGGUGGGUUGACGGUAGCUGGAUAAGAAGCGCCGGCUAACUACGUG